rnacentral:rRNA from 1 species
UAGGGAAUCUUCGGCAAUGGACGGAAGUCUGACCGAGCAACGCCGCGUGAGUGAAGAAGGUUUUCGGAUCGUAAAGCUCUGUUGUAAGAGAAGAACGAGUGUGAGAGUGGAAAGUUCACACUGUGACGGUAUCUUACCAGAAAGGGACGGCUAACUACGUGCCUGCAGCCGCGGUAAUACGUAGGUCCCGAGCGUUGUCCGGAUUUAUUGGGCGUAAAGCGAGCGCAGGCGGUUAGAUAAGUCUGAAGUUAAAGGCUGUGGCUUAACCAUAGUACGCUUUGGAAACUGUUUAACUUGAGUGCAAGAGGGGAGAGUGGAAUUCCAUGUGUAGCGGUGAAAUGCGUAGAUAUAUGGAGGAACACCGGUGGCGAAAGCGGCUCUCUGGCUUGUAACUGACGCUGAGGCUCGAAAGCGUGGGGAGCAAACAGGAUUAGAUACCCUGGUAGUCCACGCCGUAACGAUGAGUGCUAGGUGUUAGACCCUUUCCGGGGUUUAGUGCCGUAGCUAACGCAUUAAGCACUCCGCCUGGGGAGUACGACCGCAAGGUU